rnacentral:tRNA from 1 species
GAGGGUAUAGCUCAGUGGUAGAGCACGUGCUUAGCAUGCAUGAGGUCCUGGUUCGAUUCCCCAGUACCUCCA